UCCAAGGAGACUAAAAUGCAUGGAAUGUUUUCCUUGUUAUCCAACUCUACAUUGUUCUUCUCUCCUCACUGUCUUACAGUUGCUUCAUUGUACAACUGAGGAUACAAAGGAUCAACCCGCUGAGCCUGAAGCAACAGUGACCUGGAAAUCACAAAUGCUAUGCUUCCCUCCAGUGGCCCAUUAUCACCAACAAGUACUCAGCUGUGAUGGAUGGCUGUGGAGCCAAGUUGGUAAAUUUGCAUAAUGAGCCUUCCGCAAACAUUACAUUGAAAACAACAUGGUGGAUCACAUCACACACAAGGCCAGCUUUUCAAUACGUUAUUUCCAAUUGAGAGGGUGUAAAGGAUGGUCACAGCACAUUCCUCUUGGGGAACCUCGAAUCACACCUAUAACCCUAACACUGUGAGUCUAAGACAAGAGGAUCACCAGUUUGAGGCUGGCCUGGGCUACAUGAUGAGCUUGAGGUAAGCCUUAGCUACAUAUUAAGACUGUCUCAAUUGAGUAACUCAAGGACAACAGAUGAGGUGAGCAUUUCUUUGAUCUUUGUUCCAUGAUUGCAAUUGUUGAUCUUGAUUGUCAACCUGAGGGGAUUUAGACUUGCCUUGGAACCAUGCCUCUGGGUGUGUCUAUGAGGGCAUUUGAAG
rnacentral:lncRNA from 1 species